rnacentral:rRNA from 1 species
AGUGAACGCUGGCGGUAGGCCUAACACAUGCAAGUCGAACGGCAGCACAGAGGAGCUUGCUCCUUGGGUGGCGAGUGGCGGACGGGUGAGGAAUACAUCGGAAUCUACUCUGUCGUGGGGGAUAACGUAGGGAAACUUACGCUAAUACCGCAUACGACCUACGGGUGAAAGCAGGGGACCUUCGGGCCUUGCGCGAUUGAAUGCGCCGAUGUCGGAUUAGCUAGUUGGCGGGGUAAAGGCCCACCAAGGCGCAGAUCCGUAGCUGGGCUGAGAGGUUGAUCAACCACACUGGGACUGAGACACGGUCCAGACUCCUACGGGAGGCAGCAGUGGGGAAUAUUGGACAGUGGGCGCAAGCCUGAUCCAGCCAUACCGCGUGGGUGAAGAAGGCCUUCGGGUUGUAAAGCCCUUUUGUUGGGAAAGGAAUCCAGCUGGCUAAUACCCGGUUGGGAUGACGGUACCCAAAGAAUAAGCACCGGCUAACUUCGUGCCAGCCGCCGCAGUAA